rnacentral:rRNA from 1 species
ACGCUAAUACCGCAUAUUCUGUGAGCAGGAAAGCAGGGGAUCGCAAGACCUUGCGCUCUGGGAGCGGCCGAUGUCGGAUUAGCUAGUUGGUGGGUAAAGGCCUACCAAGGCGACGAUCCGUAGCGGGUCUGAGAGGAUGAUCCGCCACACUGAGACUGAGACACGGCCCAGACUCCUACGGGAGGCAGCAGGUGGGGAAUUUGGACAAUGGGCGAAAGCCUGAUCCAGCCAUGCCGCGUGAGUGAAGAAGGCCGUUCGGGUUGUAAAGCUCUUUCGGUGGGGAAGAAAUUGCAUAGGCUAAUACCCUGUGUAGAUGACGGUACCUGGAGAAGAAGCACCGGCUAACUACGUG